rnacentral:misc_RNA from 1 species
GUAUACAACUUUAAAGGGUCAAUGAAGUCCCAGUAAAAAAACAUUCUAAAACAUACAAAAUGGUGUAUAAACAUAAGAACCUCCUGAAGCAGCAGUAUAGAGUUCAGUUAAGACCUCUACGCACACUAACCUCAACAAAGACUCCUACAAAAAGUGCACAGGUGGAUAAAGAGAAAAAGUACGUGCACAUGCCUUGUUUAAGGGCCAGCAACAGUACAAAACUUCAAUAAUGAUCCUUCCGCAGGUUCACCUACGGAAA